AGUAUCAGUAUCAGCUAUAGGUAUAUAGACCAGGGGCCGUAUUCACGUCGACUUCGUGUUUGGCAUAGAUUUUAAGUCAAUGAAUGUCAGCAAUCAGCAUUUUGAUGCAGUAUUGCUUUUCUGACUACUUUUACAUACAGACACCAGGCUGCUGUUGACUAACAAUUUGUUUAUUAUAAGCCUGCCAGCAAAUCUCUGCAACAAACUGAAGCAACUCUAAGCUCAAGUGAUUGGAUCAAGUAAUAUUUCAAGAUGACAACAUGCAUUUUAGGGACUGGUGAUGAUUCUGAAGAGUACACUUGCCCAAGUCAGCCCUGGGAUACAGAGAAUAUCUAUUGCUGUGGGCUAAAUGUGGCACAAAUCUGUUGUGCAGAGGAUGAGUAUCACAAGAUUGCUGAACAUUCACAUGAAUUUGCUAAAUGGGAACUGCUGGGUCACGUGUUAUCGCUGACUCUGCUGGUGGUGGUUGGGAUCACCUUCUGCCUCUGCUGCUACUGCUGCCCUUGCUGCCCGGCGUUUCGGCACCGGCAGUCGAGGGGACGCGUUAUCCGCCCCCCCGACCCGUCGCUCGGUAUGCAAAUGAGGCCGAUGGUGACGAUGCGCCCUCCGCAGCCAGCCCCGCCGGGCGGCUCCCGGACGCACCCGCUGCCACCCAUCGCUCCGUACCCGCAGCAGGGGGCUCCGUACCCCCAGCAGCCGGCGUAUAACCCUCAGCCGGCGUACAACCCUCUGCAGUCGGCCACCUACCCGCAGCAGCCGUCGGCGCCGCCCCGGACAUUCUCCAACUCGCAAUCAUCAGUGGACAGUACGCUUUCGGACGCGCCGCCGCCGUACCCCGGAGUGAUAGCACAGCCGUCAGUCCACUGAGCAGGAGCGACUGGACUUUCCACUUGUCUUCACGUCCGCUAGAGCACCGACAAAUCGGCCGUCAUAACAGAAUAACCAUGACCUGUAUCGUGAUUGGUCCAUUAGUCGUAAGUGCCCUGUGACUGGUCUGGGGCUGACUCGUGAUGGUGAAGUCUGUCUGUCGUUUGGACUCAGGGACAAAUGACCUGUCGUUGAUGACCGUUUCUUCGGCCAAGGUCCUGUUCAUCCAUGGAGUUUGCCGUGUCGUUUACUUACUAGAGGUGAGAAUCACAAAUAUGGUAACAGCCUAACAGGUAAUCUCUAGAGUGAGUGAAGCGUCCUCACAGCCAGCGACGCACUGCUGUGUCGUGCUAGUAGCCUAAGCCGUCUAAGGUGGUAUUUGCGAUCAGACAUGUGGGACCAUACGCCCAAGUGAUAAUGGGCACUUCGGUGGAAUGGAUUCUGGAUACGGAUGAAGCUACCGAAACCCUGGCCUAGCCGUCCAACUCAUUUAGUUAAAAAAAAUCGAUUUUAUCAACAAUAUUUGAAUGCCGUAGCUUCGUGCAAUUUUGACUAUCAAGGGCAACUUUGGCCCACCUCUGGAAAACUAAUUUAUUUUGCUGUAACUUUUUUACGCUUAGGGGAAAUUGGGGCUAAACGGCCAGGGACGCCUACCAUGACCGUCUUGCCCCACUUUCCCUAAGUGUAAAACGUUGCAGCAAAACAAAUAAGUUUUCCAGGAGUGGGCCAAAAUUGCCCUUGGUGGUCAAAGUUGCACGAAACUACGGUGCUGUUCGAAUUUUUUCUUCUAUUGUUGCAUUUCCGAUGUUCCACUUAGGUGGUUAGGUAGAUUAUACCUAUGAACGGAAUUAAAGCAAUGCUGAGUGGUGGAUUUUGGCUUUACUAGAAAUGUGUAGCCUUGGGAACUUGCUAGAGCCAUGGAUUAUUAUUCAGUAGUUCAACCAUAAAAAGACGUGAAGAGUUAGCAUUGCAGUCUGAUAUGCAUAUGAACUGUCAAGUGUCAGUAUUACAGCGCAUAUGCUGAAUCUAGUUUUAGGGCACGUCUGCUGCUUUUUGGGCAGAUUCUGUUUUGUUACCUCAGGUAAUUUAUUCGCUAACUAGAUUUGCGUUUUAUAUCGUUAUUUACGCAUUGUGUCUCGCAUUUAUGUAGGUGGACAUUUUUCUGGUGUCGGUGCGCACAGGCACCGUAAUACUCAGGAUUUAGCUGUUGAUUUCGGGCUGUCACGCUGUGUUUGCAGUCUGUGUCUGCUAACCGACAGAACACCUAGUCAGUGUGCAUCAUUAUCUGUAUCAUCGUGUGAUGGAGGAAUCUUGCCAUGUAAGAGGACGUCAUCGCACUUUUUGCCUUUUUUUUUUGUUGUUGUUAGUAAUCCAAAAUGAAGCGUCUACAGUACCAGAAAUAUUGCUAGACAUUCAAACGCAAUAUCAGACGAAUUUAUGUGAUUGGUACAUGUGUAGGUACACGAAAUGUGUAAACUAGUUACAAAGGGGGUUUAUGCUGCAGACGUGUUUUAAUCUAACCGUCGAAACUGAAGCGGAAAACUUUUGUUACUGCUUGCAGCUUAGUGUAAGUGCGCUGCAUAUUCGCUGAUAAAUGAUACAUCGUACAACUGCUG